ensembl:lncRNA
GUGUAUAAUUUGCUUCACUUUAAAUAAAUGCAUUGCUUUCAUCGCACAAAGUCCAACAUUUUGUUCCUAUUUCCUCGCAUCCCCACAGUCUGCCAGCGCAGCCCUGACAAAGGGAAGGAAAAACUCCCUUUUAACAGGAAGAAACCUCCAGGAGAACCAGGCUCGGGGAGGAGCAACUAGCUACUACGACUGGUUGGGGUCCAGUAAGUUUUUUCCAUUCACCCCUUUCCACAUAUGUCAGUGAUGCCCACGGGAAUACUGAAGAGUCCUCAGACAGUAAAGUUGGGCAAUAUGUAAAGAUUUUCCAACCAACAUGCAUCAGUCCAAUAACAGACGAUAGGCGAUAUAUUCACGCAGGUGACUUUUUGAUGGACGUAAUGUAAUCAUGCAUGGACUGAUUUGCGUGUUUAGAAUUUAUAAGUUGUGUUUGGAGGGAAUAUUUUACCUUCUUUUCUUGUUUGUUUCAGUAUUAAUAUAGCUACUUUUUAGAUUUUUCAUUUAUUUAUUCAUUUAUUCAGAUGCGCUAAAUCGCACAAAAGACAACAUUACGUCAGAGAUUUUUUUUUAAUGUUCACUGGAAGACACAUUUUGAUUUUUAACUUGUGGGUUUUUUUUUUAAUUUAGAUAAAAUGUUUUUUUUUCUGAGCAUAGGCUGCUGCCUUUCUUUCUGUUAUGAGUUUCAGUAAACAAAUUGCUGCAUUUGGGCGCAGCUGAAAGAGGGUGCUGUUAAAACAGCGCUGACUGCAUCUCUUAGCUUCAGCCAACAACAUUAGCAAACGUACUCAUUGGCAAAUAAAUAAAUAAAUACACUCUACUUUUGUAUACACUCUUUUUGACCAGUCAUUGAAUUUGUUUGUCAUUAUAAGUUAGUAAAGCACAGAAAGAAAACAGCUGUAGACACUGACAGGCCACCAGCCUGGUAAGUUGGGUAAGUGGAGAUUUUUAGACAGUGGAGGUCAUUUUGUAACAAAUAUUAAAGCAGCUGUUAUUUACAGAACGUUUUUGCUCCAGGAGUGCUGCAUCUUGCACAACUUAGUGGUGUAUUCAGGCUAAUCAAACACCUGACACGGCAACUCUCAUCUGAACACAGAGGGGCCAACCUAUUAUUGAUCAAACUCUAAGUGCUGAAUGCAUUGAUCAUCUAUUUUAAGUGUUCCUACACUGUGGAAAGGAAUAUUAGUGUGCACAUGAACUGGUGCAGGAUGUCUAAGUUGCACUGACAAUAUGGCUUUUAUAGGCAAUAUUCAGAUAAAUG